GACGAACGCUGGCGGCGUGCUUAACACAUGCAAGUCGAGCGAUGAAGCUCCUUCGGGAGUGGAUUAGCGGCGGACGGGUGAGUAACACGUGGGCAACCUGCCUUAUAGAGAGGAAUAGCCAUCCGAAAGGAUGAUUAAUACCUCAUAAUAUUGUAGCUUCGCAUGGCGCAACAAUCAAAGGAGCAAUCCACUAUAAGAUGGGCCCGCGGUGCAUUAGCUAGUUGGUGAGGUAACGGCUCACCAAGGCGACGAUGCGUAGCCGACCUGAGAGGGUGAUCGGCCACAUUGGGACUGAGACACGGCCCAGACUCCUACGGGAGGCAGCAGUGGGGAAUAUUGCACAAUGGGGGAAACCCUGAUGCAGCAACGCCGCGUGAGUGAUGACGGCCUUCGGGUUGUAAAGCUCUGUCUUCAGGGACGAUAAUGACGGUACCUGAGGAGGAAGCCACGGCUAACUACGUGCCAGCCGCCGCAGUAA
rnacentral:rRNA from 1 species